rnacentral:rRNA from 1 species
CCUACGGGGGGCAGCAGUGGGGAAUAUUGCGCAAUGGGCGAAAGCCUGACGCAGCGACGCCGCGUGAGGGAUGAAGGUCUUCGGAUCGUAAACCUCUGUCAGCAGGGAAGAAAGGUCACUGGGCUAAUCAGCAGUGAAUUGACGGUACCUGCAAAGGAAGCACCGGCAAACUCCGUGCCAGCAGCCGCGGUAAUACGGAGGGUGCGAGCGUGAAGCGGAAUUACGGGGCGUAAAGCGCUCGUCGGCGGUAUGUCAAGUCAAGGGUGAAAUCCCCGCGCUCAACGUGGGAACUGCCUUUGAAACUGGCCACCUGGAUUGUGUGAGAGGCUCGUGGAAUUCCAGGUGUAGGCGU